UGAAUGGGUCCCCGGGCAGCCCAUUCCUGCCUGGCACCACAGGGAUCCAACGGGAGAGGAACAGAGGGUAAAACUACACGGAGAGAAGGAAAUCUCUAGCUGAACUUUGUAACAAUUCGAACAGCGUGAGAAGUCUCCUGGCCAGAACUCGGGGGAGGACACAAAUCUCCUGCACAGUUAAUAUCCAGAGUCACACGUGGAGAGGAAGCAUCACAAUGAGACCAUACAACCAUAUAAUCUGUUCAAGUCCUAGAAGGUGUUGGCAGAGCUGCAGGACUGACCUAGGUCAAUGGCUGUGGGUGUCUGCUAACAGAUUUAACUGCCUGCCACCUGAGCACUGGAGCCACCACAGUACUCAAUCAAGACAGGAUUUGGGGUUUCUACAGCCAGCAUCACUGAUGGUGACAGAGACACACUGCUUCACACACAGCUGGCUUUCCUUUUUUUCUGAGGUACCAAGUGUUUGCCACCAACAGUGUAUCUAAGACACAAUGUCUGGCUAGUCUUUUGCUAUUAGAAAGGUGCAGCAUCUCACACCUGUAAUCCCAGCACUUUGGGAGACAAAGGCAGGUAGAUCACCUGAGGUCAGGGAUUCAAGACCAGCCUGGCC
rnacentral:lncRNA from 1 species